rnacentral:rRNA from 1 species
GUGUCAGCCGCCGCGGUAAAACGUAGGAGGCGAGCGUUAUCCGGAUUUACUGGGCGUAAAGCGCGUGCAGGCGGUAAGGAAAGUUGGAUGUGAAAGCUCCUGGCUUAACUGGGAGAGGUCGUUCAAAACUACCUAACUAGAGUAUGGGAGAGGGAGGCGGAAUUCCGGGUGUAGUGGUGAAAUGCGUAGAUAUCCGGAGGAACACCAGUGGCGAAAGCGGCCUCCUGGUCCAAGACUGACGCUCAGACGCGAAAGCUAGGGUAGCAAACGGGAUUAGAUACCCCAGUAGUCC